UAUUUCUUCCCACCAAAGUUCAUGGCUUCUUUUAGGAGGAAGUUCACUUAUUACUUACAUGUCACUGGGGGAUGCAAAGACUUAUCUGAGUUGUCAAAAUCUGGGACAUCCACCAAAUGUCUUCCCAGCUCCCGAGUUCUCCCUGGGGCCAGCUGAUACUUUUGUUGCUACUUCACUGAAGUUAAGUUUCUCCUUCUGACCAGUAUUGUAACAUUCAUUUCUUCCUAGUUAUACUUUCUGAGCAGUUUUCACCUGAAUGUUUCCUGAUGAGUAUGACAUAAUAGAGUUAGUGCCAGGAAUGAUCAUAGACGUAGAUUCCAAAGAGGGAUUCUAGAGCUCUAUCACCUGCUGACUGGCUAGCCAUGAAGACCUGAUCCCGGGUGGAUACAGAGCUGACUGACCUUGUCAUGCUUCAUGAUGAUAUAACCAAGGCCACAUGUUGAGGAGAGAAUUCUCAUACCCUGAAUGGAUUACUGAACACACAGGCUGAGUAUCUUCUGAUGGUCACAGCCAUCCAAUGUCUCGCUUCGCUGUUGUGACUGGAGCGGAAUCACAUGGGGGCCAGGAUCUCUUGGAAACUGCCAACCUGGAGAAAUGUUUCUGACUUCCCUUCUGGCCUGGACAAAUCACAAAGGCAAUUGAAGGCAAGAAGUAUUUCGCUGUAUUUUUCCUUUUCUUUCUAUCUCUGUGAUAGGCAUCUCAUCCACAGACCCAGGCUAAUACGUGUGGAAGGAGAGAGAAAUCAUCUCUGCAUGCGCUCCUGUGACAUUUUGAUAAGAGCACAGGGAAGGGAAGGUGGCAAUUCCUUAAGCCGCCUUCUAAAGACACAGCUUCAUCCACUCCUUGGAAAGCUUACUGGGAUCCUCUCAGGGAGCAGGAGGAGUUGAAAGGAUUGUAGGAAUAAUCCAACCUACAGAAACAC
rnacentral:lncRNA from 1 species